UACGAGGGGGGCGAGCGUUGUUCGGAAUUAUUGGGCGUAAAGGGCGCGUAGGCGGUUGGAUAAGUCUGUUGUGAAAUCCCCGGGCUCAACCUGGGAAUGGCAAUGGAUACUGGGUCGCUAGAGUAUGAUAGAGGAUGGUGGAAUUCCCGGUGUAGCGGUGAAAUGCGUAGAGAUCGGGAGGAACAUCAGUGGCGAAGGCGGCCAUCUGGAUCAACACUGACGCUGAGGCACGAAAGCGUGGGGAGCAAACAGG
rnacentral:rRNA from 1 species